rnacentral:rRNA from 1 species
GAGUUGAUCGAUGGCGUCAGGACGAACGCUGGCGGCGUGCCUAACACAUGCAAGUCGAGCGAGGAGAUUCCUUCGGGAGUGAUCCUAGCGGCGGACGGGUGAGUAACACGUGGGCAACCUGCCUCAUAGAGAGGAAUAGCCUUCCGAAAGGGAGAUUAAUACCUCAUAACAUUGCAGUUUCGCAUGGAACAGCAAUUAAAGGAGCAAUCCACUAUGAGAUGGGCCCGCGGCGCAUUAGCUAGUUGGUGAGGUAACGGCUCACCAAGGCGACGAUGCGUAGCCGACCUGAGAGGGUGAUCGGCCACAUUGGGACUGAGACACGGCCCAGACUCCUACGGGAGGCAGCAGUGGGGAAUAUUGCACAAUGGGGGAAACCCUGAUGCAGCCAACGCCGCGUGAGUGAUGACGGCCUUCGGGUUGUAAAGCUCUGUCUUCAGGGACGAUAAUGACGGUACCUGAGGAGGAAGCCACGGCUAACUACGUGCCAGCAGCUGC